UGGGGGAUAUUGCACAAUGGGCGAAAGCCUGAUGCAGCGACGCCGCGUGGGGGAUGAAGGCCUUCGGGUUGUAAACUUCUUUUGCUCUGAACAAGGCAUGCUAAUGGGUGUGUUGAGUGUAGGGGUUGAUUGGCGCCGGCUAACUACGUGCCAGCAGCCGCGGUAAUACGUAGGGCGCGAGCGUUGUCCGGAAUUAUUGGGCGUAAAGGGCUUGUAGGUGGCUGGUUGCGUCUGUCGUGAAAGCUCAUGGCUUAACUGUGGGUUUGCGGUGGGUACGGGCUGGCUUGAGUGCAGUAGGGGAGGCUGGAAUUCCUGGUGUAGCGGUGGAAUGCGCAGAUAUCAGGAGGAAUACCGGUGGUGAAGGCGGGUCUCUGGGCUGUUACUGACACUGAGGAGCGAAAGCAUGGGGAGCGAACAGG
rnacentral:rRNA from 1 species